rnacentral:sRNA from 1 species
UGCAUCUCUCUGCAGUGGAGAGAAGCGACAAGAUGCUUAUUGAUUCCACAGUAGGAAGAGUGAGAGACUGCAGCAGCCUCUAAGCAGCACUACAUGUUCCAUACAUUAGCAGUACUGCUGAAACAAUGGCACACUACAGACACAUAUUUUCAUUAAGGUCAUUUUCGAAGAGAUGUUUAUGACCCUCUUCCCCCAGUCCUCUACUAACAAGUGAACAAAAUGAAUCAAUCCAAACUGGAAAUGCUUCAACUACAUCAAGAAUUUAUCAAAUCUUUAGCAGAGGGCCGAUAGCAGCUAAUUCAGUAUUUACAACUGACAAUAUGAAGAAUGCAAUUGACUGAGCAUCUCCCUAGCUGUCUGAACUACGAACUGCAAGAUGUUCUUGUAACACGACUUUAAGACAUUAAGGAGUUAAAACCAGGGAAUAGGUCUACAUUACUGAUGGAAUAUAAAAAAUCAA